GGUCCCACCUGACCCCAUGCCGAACUCAGAAGUGAAACGCCGUAGCGCCGAUGGUAGUGUGGGGUCUCCCCAUGCGAGAGUAGGACACUGCCAGGCA
rnacentral:rRNA from 4 species